rnacentral:lncRNA from 10 species
GUCCAAUCUGGAGAGCCUCUACAAUUAGCAAAACAAGGUCUGGAAUUCCUGGACUUCACUCCUUGUUAGCGAGAAAGCGAAACACGUGAUGUUCUGCUUUGCUCUCAGUGUCAAAACCUUGUGCUCAUGGGCCCUGGCGGCUACACAGAAAGCCCUGAGGACUGAAACCCUGCAUGGGUACAUUUUGAUGGGGCAGGAAGAAAAGUUCUGGAGUGUGGAGAGCAGAGGUCCAGAGCAUUCACUGAUUUAGCCACAGAAGAAACAGAUGCGGAAACCGGGGCACAGCAGGCGAAGUGAAACUUCCCAUGUUCCAGCAAAGCCCAGUCCAUAACGUGAGGCUUUGUGAGGUUUGUGUGUGCGACCUUCACCCCUUCACCUGGACCCUCUCUUUGUCCUCCUUUCGCACCCAGUGAUGUGUGGCCUGGAUCACUUCCCUGCCCUCAAGUCUUGCCCUGGCCUGACGUUCAGCGGACCCUCCGUGCAUUAAGGAUGGAGGAUGGUUCCUUGUGCUUCCUCUACCAGGUGCACUUGUAUCUGCUCGGAAUUCUGGAAGAGCAAAGACCCACUGGCCCCACUAAUCCAUCUAUUGAUCCUGCCCCGGUCAGCAGGCUGGGUCUAGCCUCCACACUGCCGCUGCUCAGGGUCUGUGGAGGAAGUCGCUGCAGCCAUUCAGCCAGAUGAAUCGCAAUUAAUAAAUGUGGAACGAAUGAGAGACGAAGACGAUGAGCACCAGAGGACUGCAGGGAGCACGGCUGAGGCAACAUCACCAGAGGAUAGUAAAAUUAGCAGACAGAGAUCUAAGCACAAACAGUGUCUCUGUGUAGCCUUAAAGCAUCUCUUUGAAUAUUUAAUGGUUACAAAGGAAAAACAGUGAGUUGAUGGGGGAGAACCCUGGCAGGCACCACCCUAACCAAGAGAUCAAAGUUGGCAUGACCAGGCACAAGGCACACUAACAGCCCACACCCACUGAUCUGGCCCACCGAAAAUGCACAUCACUUCUGUGGCAUUGCCACGGAAUUUCCAAAAAGGCAUUACCUCAGUCCAAUGCAGAGAAGGCGUCAGGCAGACCUAGGCGGAGAGACUGUCCAAGAGCGACAGACCCAUCCUCUUAAAAAGCCGGCCCUGACACAGAAAGGAGACAGAGAAAGGUGACAGCCAAAUGCACGUGGGAGCUGGGAACAGAGGAGGGCACUGGGAGGGGCCUGCCUGCCGUCCAGCUCUCGAGACCACGGCGAGAUUCAGAAGGGAAUUGGGCCAUUCCUUCUCCAAAGCAGAACGUACUGCAGCUGUGAGAGUUCUAGGAGAAAAUUCAGGUGGAUGCUUCUGUAAUCUUGGAAUGGAGGCUAAGCCUGGCAACAAUGCUAGAAAACAGUGCUGAAGUUUGACAGAUUUAGCCACAUACAAUGGCAAAUGACAAACUGUAAAAGGAAUUCUUGUGAGACAGAGGAAGGAAGGAAGGAAGGAAGGAAGGAAGGAAGGAAGGAAGGUAGGAAGGAAGAAAGGAAGGAAGGAAGGGGCACCCUAAUAGGGCAAACAGUAGUAUAGGUCAGAAAUAACUUUGAAAGAACCACAGGGUGCUGGUGGGCCAAUCAGGGACAGACAGACCCCCUCUUCCAGGGGCUGGGCUGGGCUGGGGUGGGGUCCACAGGUGCAGCCCUGGAGCUGGGCUUGCCUGUCUGCAUCCAAGCAUCCCUGUGCUUUCCCUGUGAGCUGGCAGUCCCCACUAUGAGAUUCUAGCCUGGGAAUGUGCUAUAGGGAAGCUUACAGCAGCAGAUCAUAGAAAAGCAAAAUAGAAAUGUGAAAGGAAAAUAAAAACUUGGGACCCCUACUCCCUCCGCCAAAAGAAAAAAAAAAUGCUGAAAGUGGAGUCAUGCAAGAAGCUGCCUUUCCCUUUGUUCCUAAGCAGAUAGAGACAGAUAAAAGGUUAAAGAUCUCCACUCUGCAUUCACCUUAUCUUGUGUGAAGAGUCGAGUUACUGAGCAUGGGACGAACACAUAACUGACCAUUCCCCUACAUGCUCCUUUUCUUUUGCAACAUUUGGAUUCAGUAAUGUGACCAUACCCUCCCUCUGUCCCCUCCAGCUGGCUUUUUCCUUUAAAUACUGAAGCCCUCGAAAUCAUCUUUGGAGAAAGGCACAGACCUGUCUCCCAAGACGUGUCCUUAAUCUUGGCAAAGUAAACUUCUAAGUUGAUCGAGGCUUGUCUCAGAUAUUUUCAGGUUUACAGAAAGAAAUUCAAUUUCAGUCACAAACGGAAUGAUAAAAUAAGUUGUUACGCAUCCAUAGAAAGAAGAUAUUAACAUGACUGUGUCAAGAUAUCCCUACCUCCGAAGUUGUCAGGUUUGCGGACCUUGGGGUGAAGCGUGGGGCUGCUGGAGGCGUCCAGCCCUGACUGUGUGUCCAGGACAAUGAGCCCCGAAGUGAGCGGGCCGCGUCCUGUUGGCGCAGCCAACUUCACGCCCUCUGUCCAGGGAGGACUAAGGGACAAGCUGCAGCAGGCGCAGAGGACGCUGUUGGUGUCCGGGAGGCCGCUGGUACAGGGCGUUGGGCGUGGCUCCUUUCCAAGUGCCUUGCACUUUCCAGGCUGGGCUGCAGAAGCAGGCUCGGGGGCGACUCGCGUGGGGACUGAAGCAGCCAGCCUUGGCACCUGCCCACAGCAAAUAACUGCCUUGACUUGAUCUGGUUUUUUUGAAGAAAGGUUUAUUCAUACCCAUUAUGUGCGCAUGU